AGAAGAAGAAGAAGAAUGGGUCGUAAGAAUAACAGUGACAGCGACGAAGACGAAACUUUCUACUACCGCUACUCCUCAGCCUCCUCGUCAGCCCCGCCACCGCCAUCUUCCUCUUUGAAUCCAUUCAAAUCAAACCCUAAAUCCAACGGCUCAGGUGGUCUAGCUCCAUCAAAAUCCACCCUUUACGUCUCAAACCUCGAUUAUUCUCUCACCAACUCUGAUCUCCAUACUCUUUUCUCUACCUUCGGCAAGAUCGCCCGCGUCAGCGUCCUCAAAGACCGAGCCUCCCGCCAAUCACGCGGUGUUGCUUUUAUUCAAUUCGUCUCUCGAAACGAUGCCCUCUCUGCGGCCCGCCAAAUGGACAAGAAAAUCCUCAACGGCCGUACCCUCUCCGCUUCUAUCGCCGUUGAUAAUGGCCGCGCCCCGGAGUUCAUUAAGAAAAGAAUUUAUAAGGAUAAAAGUCGGUGUUAUGAGUGUGGGGAGAUUGGGCAUUUGUCUUAUGAGUGUCCGAGGAAUCAGCUGGGGCCGAGGGAAAGGCCGGUAGCUAAGCGAGGUCGGAGAGGUGGGGAUCCAGGGAGGAGGGAGGAAGAGUGGGGUGAUGAGGAGGUGUUUGAGGAGGAGAAUUGGGCGUCGGUGGUGGAUGGAAGGGCGGAUGAGAGAUUGCUGAGUGGAGGGGACAGUGAGAUGGAGAGGAAGAAGGUGAAGAAAUCGAGCUAUUUUAGUGAUGAGAGUGAUGAGGAGGAGUGAUCUGGAGAUUUGAAUCAUCCAAGGUGUUAUCUUUUUGGUGGGACAUCAAAUGGAAUAAAUUUUAUAUCUUGUUGAACUUAUAGUGAUACACAUUAUUUCACCUUCUGGAGUGUUAUGAGUUCCUCCACAAAAUUUGAUCUGGAGUGUAUGAGUUCCGCCACAAAAUUUGAAGCAACAUGUCCAGUUUUUCAGACUGUAGUUGGAUGUCAAUCUGAGCUUCUACGCCUUGGACCUUUGCAAACCAAAGCUUUGGUUGGUUCUUUACCAUAAGCAGAUUAUCAAUGUGCUAGUGCUACCGACACAUUCAGUUAGUUGCAGUGAUCAACCGGCACGUUCAGUUAGUUGCCAUGAUCAACCGUGUAGCUGCAGUGGAUUUCCUUAUAAAGCAAUGUUUUGUUUAAUCAUUGAGUAUUUUCAAGGGACCAAAGCUCAUGCAUAUGUAUAAUCUACAAUCUACAUUAAAAUGUGUUGUAAUUUAUUGAUAGAAAAAAAAAAAGAUCUAAUUAACUUUUGUUCCCUCUCUCGGUCAACUCUUAUUUUAUUUGUAACGACAUGCCUCUCAGGAAAGCAUUUGAAGGUUUUGUUACUGCAAGUGAAGACCUCUAUACUACCUUCCUUGCUUUUUCUCCAUGAUGCAAAUGAAAAAUAUUGUUCUUGCAGAUUGCAUUGAAAACAGCAUAAGCCAUGUAUGAUUAAACUAAUCCAAGAAACAUCGAGCAUCUGAAUUCAAAUCUGCUCUCGCCUAUGAUGAGCUGGGUUGUUUUCCUGUCAGCAUUUCAUGGUCCCCCAUGAUUUCAUCUAUUAAUUCCUGCAGUGGUUUAUUAGCGCUGUUGGGAACAAGAGCGGCAAAUGCAGCUGCUUCUAGACCAGUCUCUGGAAAAGCAUCGAUGAACAUCAUCAUCUCUUCCCCACUAAGGCCGGACAAGAUGCAAAUCCGUGGCAACGACUUUGCUAUCUGCACUGUUUCCAAAUUUGGUUGACUUGUAUGCAUUGCUUCCCAAAGUGACUGGGGAAUCAUGUCUUCAGUACAAAAAAUAACCUGUAAAAAUUCACCACCCAACUCUUUUAGUAGCUGCCGAAUCUGUGCCAAAAAAAUAUGUAGGUUAGAAGACUCAUAAUCCAGUUUCUGGGUUAUCGAUCUAGCAAUCAAGAAACAGUAGAUUACGUAUUAAAAAAAUAAAGGUUUAUGUCAAACUGGCAAGCAUAAAGUUUCUAACAAGAUCUCUUACUUCCCAAAAAUGGGCAAAUUUACAGUCAAUUUGAUCCAAAAUACUAAAAAUAUUGAGAUCAAUAAUUGUUUUAGCUGACUCUAAAUUUGCUAGUUACAUGAAACUAUUAAGAACAUAAUUGGAAUGAAGCACCUUGGUAUGCAAGCUGAACUAGUUUCCAGCAAAGAAUCCGUCUUAAGAGGCACACUACUGCCAUAUGGGAAGCAGUUGUGAUGCAAACAAUAAGGAUUCUCUUAUCAUGAUAUAACUAAGGCUCUUAAAAUGCAACUAGUCAUCAUUAGGUUUGAAUAUCCCAAUGACAUCAUGACUAAAAAGGACAAGAAAAAUGAGAUGAGAAUCACCUUCAGUGCCUCGUCCAAUUCAAAGCCCAUCAACAACAAAGCCACAACUUACAGGUGGACCAUAUACAGGGUCAUCAGCAUUUAAAGGAACAAACUUUGAAUCUUCAAUUAACUCGCUGGGAAUCCCUUCAGCUGAUGCUCUUGGUGGAUGAUGGAGCUUCACUUGAUGGGUUGCAUUCUUCACUGAAGAAGAAUAAGAAAGAAAAACUGUAGAUAUUUGUGAAACAACGAAAGGGUUUGAUGAAACCGAAGGAACCGAGAAUGCAAAAGAUUUCAAACAACGGUUUGUCGAGAACCCAAGAGCAAACGCCAUGUAGUACUACUUUGUUUCUUUUAUCUAACGCAGUUCGCAGUCCACAGCUCCACCCCGUU
rnacentral:misc_RNA from 1 species